GACGGGGACCCGCACAAGCGGUGGAUGAUGUGGAUUAAUUCGAUGCAACGCGAAAAACCUUACCUACCCUUGACAUGUCCGGAAUCCCCGAAGAGAUUUGGGAGUGCUCGCAAGAGAACCGGAACACAGGUGCUGCAUGGCUGUCGUCAGCUCGUGUCGUGAGAUGUUGGGUUAAGUCCCGCAACGAGCGCAACCCUUGCCAUUAGUUGCUACGAAAGGGCACUCUAAUGGGACUGCCGGUGACAAACCGGAGGAAGGUGGGGAUGACGUCAAGUCCUCAUGGCCCUUAUAGGUGGGGCUACACACGUCAUACAAUGGCCGGUACAGAGGGUAGCCAACCCGCGAGGGGGAGCCAAUCCCACAAAGCCGGUCGUAGUCCGGAUCGCAGUCUGCAACUCGACUGCGUGAAGUCGGAAUCGCUAGUAAUCGCGGAUCAGCAUGUCGCGGUGAAUACGUUCCCGGGUCUU
rnacentral:rRNA from 1 species